GCCAACAUGGCGUAGUGGUUUGAGUGUUGGACUAUGACUCCGAAGACCAGGAUUCAAAUCCUGUUCAGCCA